GAUGAACGCUGGCGGCGUGCCUAAUACAUGCGAGUCGAGCGAACAGACGAUGAGCUUGCUCCUUUGACGUUAGCGGCGGACGGGUGAGUAACACGUGGGUAACCUACCUAUAAGACUGGGAUAACUUCGGGAAACCGGAGCUAAUACCGGAUAAUAUUUCGAACCGCAUGGUUCGAUAGUGAAAGAUGGCUUUGCUAUCACUUAUAGAUGGACCUGCGCCGUAUUAGCUAGUUGGUAAGGUAACGGCUUACCAAGGCAACGAUACGUAGCCGACCUGAGAGGGUGAUCGCCCACACUGGAACUGAGACACGGUCCAGAGUCCUACGGGAGGGAGCAGUAGGGAAUCUUACGCAAUGGGCGAAAGCAUGACGGAGCAACGCGGCGUGAGUGAUGAAGGUCUUCGGAUCGUAAAACUCUGUUAUUAGGGAAGAACAAACGUGUAAGUAACUGUGCACGUCUUGACGGUACCUAAUCAGAAAGCAACGGCUAACUACGUG
rnacentral:rRNA from 1 species